rnacentral:lncRNA from 1 species
GCCCGAGCUUCCUCCACGCGCCGUGCAGUCUCCACGGCGACGCUGCGUUCCCGACUCGGAGCCCCCAGCUCCGCGCGAGCAGCUAGCCGGGCUGGCUCUCGGUGUGUGCCCUUCGGAUGGUCUGCUGAAGAGGGCCGCCAGCUGGACUUCUGUAGACAAGACAGAUACUGUAAAGACAGCAAAGAACAAACAGAAUGGCAGAUUGCUAAUGUUUGAUCCAAACGAAAAAGUGAUGAUUGAAUCAAACGAAGCAAUGUCAGAGUAAGAAGAUGUCUUUGAUUGUGCAGCUGAUCUCUCCCAUGCCUUUUAAGCAAUUAGAACUAGAUAAUGCAGCCAUUUGUCACCCAAUUAAAUUUGAAAGGCCAGAAAUGCAUGGAUUAGCACUUCAGCUUUUGCUGCAGUCAAAGCAAUUGUUACUAUAGAUAGAAGGACAGUUAAAAUGAAAAAUGAAUUUUGAUAAAAAUGCAGAAGUAUAGAUAAUAUUCACUUCUACUUUUUAAUGCUUAAACACCCUGUAUUCUGUAUUUUACUUGUAUCAUAAUUUUCAUUGCUCAUUCCUAUUUCCCUUUGAUACUUAUUUCUUUCACAAUAUUUCUUCAAGUGAAUAUGUACUUUAAAAUUAACAAAUUAUUUACUAUAACAUGAAUUGUUACUACUCAAUAAAGAAAGUAAUCACCUCAACUAGUUGAAGAAACUGGUGUUAAAAAAAUUGUAUUCUUUCCAGCCUUU